UGGGGAAUAUUGGACAAUGGGCGAAAGCCUGAUCCAGCCAUGCCGCGUGUGUGAAGAAGGUCUUCGGAUUGUAAAGCACUUUAAGUUGGGAGGAAGGGCAGUAAGCGAAUACCUUGCUGUUUUGACGUUACCGACAGAAUAAGCACCGGCUAACUCUGUGCCAGCAGCCGCGGUAAUACAGAGGGUGCAAGCGUUAAUCGGAAUUACUGGGCGUAAAGCGCGCGUAGGUGGUUCGUUAAGUUUAAUGUGAAAGCCCAGGGCUCAACCUUGGAACUGCAUCCCACACUGGCGAGCUAGAGUAGGGCAGAGGGUGGUGGAAUUUCCUGUAUAGCGGUGAAAUGCGUAGAUAUAGGAAGGAACACCAGUGGCGAAGGCGACCACCUGGGCUCAUACUGACACUGAGGUGCGAAAGCGUGGGGAGCAAACAGG
rnacentral:rRNA from 1 species